GUAGGUGGCAAGCGUUGUCCGGAAUUAUUGGGCGUAAAGCGCGCGCAGGCGGUUCUUUAAGUCUGAUGUGAAAGCCCACGGCUCAACCGUGGAGGGUCAUUGGAAACUGGAGAACUUGAGUACAGAAGAGGAAAGCGGAAUUCCACGUGUAGCGGUGAAAUGCGUAGAGAUGUGGAGGAACACCAGUGGCGAAGGCGGCUUUCUGGUCUGUAACUGACGCUGAGGCGCGAAAGCGUGGGGAGCAAACAGGGAUUAGAUACCCUAGUAGUCCACGCCGUAAACGAUGAGUGCUAAGUGUUAGGGGGGUUUCCGCCCCCUUAGUGCUGCAGCUAACGCAUUAAGCACUCCGCCUGGGGAGUACGGCCGCAAGGCUG
rnacentral:rRNA from 1 species